CACAGGCUGAAAAUGUGAUAUUAUCGAUUGCCCCGUCACAGGCUGGAAAUGUGAUACCAUCGAUUGCCCCGUCACAGGCUGGAAAUGUGAUACUAUCGAUUGCCCCAUCACAGGCCGGAAAUGUGAUACUAUCUGUUGCUGGUGGUCCAAACCGAGAACGAUUGGCACAGCGGUGUGAACGGGGUUCCCUUGGAGUUGGGUUGAUUGCGCUCCACCUUCCACCGGGAAACCUGCAGGCAAGCCUCGCACCACCACUGGGGUAGUGGGGGCCCUCCGACGAUCAAGUCAGAGGAGAUUGAAGGAGAAGGAGAGAUAGUAGUAGCGG
rnacentral:lncRNA from 1 species